UGCCGGGUGGUGUAGUGGUAACAUCCAUGUCACCCGUUCACGGUAUCGCUUCUACGAGUCGUUUAUGUAACUUACAUGUGGGGUGGUGUGUGUCGCAGGUUCGAAUCCUGCCCCGGCAA
rnacentral:tRNA from 2 species